AAUCAGCGCAGCAAAUUCAAGGUUGGGGCUUACUGCUUUGACAAAACGAGUGCGGUUAAUAGAUAGACCUGAUAGUCCAUAUGGCGAGUUGAUAAAGAGGGACCCUUGCCUCACAACGAUCGGGUGAUAUAUCAGCCACUGGACGUAUAUCCUGCUCCACUCCACAGAUGUUAAAAGUGUUAACGGAACGACGCAGGGUUCUCAGUUCCUACCAUGUUGUCUUUGAUCCUACUUUGGCUGCCCUCUAUCUGAGUCCAAGCUAGACAUUGAUUCGGGCUCCUGGGAGAAGAAAGAAACCCGGCUUUUGACACCAAUGCUCUGGUUCUUAGAUGCUGAAGUUAUUGAAUAUUGUCAGCUGCCUCUUGAGUAGAAGGGUGAAAUGCCAAUGGAAUGUAUAUUGAGAUGAGGCUUAGGAAUGUGGUUUACAACAGUUUUGUUGGCUUAUUUAUUACUGUUUUGAUGUUUCUGUACAAUGAAAUUGAAGUUAUAAGAA